UACGGAGGGUGCGAGCGUUGUCCGGAAUCACUGGGCGUAAAGGGCGCGUAGGUGGCGCCGCAAGUCAACGGUGAAAGCUCGACGCUUAACGUCGAGUCGGCCGUCGAGACUGCGGGGCUCGAGCACUGUAGAGGCUCAUGGAAUUCCGGGUGUAGCGGUGGAAUGCGUAGAGAUCCGGAAGAACACCGGUGGCGAAGGCGGUGAGCUGGACAGUUGCUGACACUGAGGCGUGACAGCGUGGGGAGCAAACAGG
rnacentral:rRNA from 1 species